rnacentral:rRNA from 1 species
CCUACGGGAGGCAGCAGUAGGGAAUAUUGCUCAAUGGGGGAAACCCUGAAGCAGCAACGCCGCGUGGAGGAUGAAGGUUUUAGGAUUGUAAACUCCUUUUGUUAGAGAAGUUUAUGACGGUAUCUAACGAAUAAGCACCGGCUAACUUCGUGCCAGCAGCCGCGGUAAUACGGAGGGUGCAAGCGUUAAUCGGAAUCACUGGGCGUAAAGAGUGCGUAGGCGGGGUAAUAAGUCAGAUGUGAAAUCCUGUAGCUUAACUACAGAACUGCAUUUGAAACUGUUACUCUGGAGUGUGGGAAGGGUAAGUCGAAUUCCUGGUGGAAGGGGAGAA